rnacentral:tRNA from 1 species
GAGGGUAUAGCUCAGUGGUAGAGCACAUGCUUAGCAUGCAUGAGGUCCUGGGUUCAAUCCCCGGUACUUCCA